UACGUAGGUUGCAAGCGUUGUCCGGAAUUAUUGGGCGUAAAGCGCGCGCAGGCGGCCUCGUAAGUCUGAUGUGAAAGCCCCCGGCUCAACCGGGGAGGGGCAUUGGUAACUGGAUGGCUAGAGUAUAGGAGAGGAGAGUGGAAUUCCACGUGUAGCGGUGAAAUGCGUAGAGAUGUGGAGGAACACCAGUGGCGAAGGCGACUCUUUGGCCUAUAACUGACGCUGAGGCGCGAAAGCGUGGGGAGCAAACAGG
rnacentral:misc_RNA from 1 species